rnacentral:rRNA from 1 species
UACGUAGGGGGCAAGCGUUGUCCGGAUUUAUUGGGCGUAAAGAGCGUGUAGGCGGCCAGGUAGGUCUGCUGUGAAAACUCGAGGCUUAACCUCGAGAUGUCGGCGGAAACCAUCUGGCUAGAGUCCGGAAGAGGAGAAUGGAAUUCCCGGUGUAGCGGUGAAAUGCGCAGAUAUCGGGAAGAACACCCGUGGCGAAGGCGGUUCUCUGGGACGGUACUGACACUGAGGUGCGAAAGCUAGGGUAGCAAACGGG